rnacentral:rRNA from 1 species
AGCAGCCGCGGUAAUUCCAGCUCCAAUAGCGUAUAUUAAAGUUGCUGCAGUUAAAAAGCUCGUAGUUGAAUUUCGGGACCAAUACGUCAGUCGUGCCUCGGUACGUACUGGCAUCGUUGGUUUCUCCCUUCUGAAGAACCAUGAUGUCAUUUAUUUGGUGUCGUGGGGAAUCAGGACUGUUACUUUGAAAAAAUUAGAGUGUUUAAAGCAGGCUCACGCUUGAAUACAUUAGCAUGGAAUAAUGAAAUAGGACGUUUUGAUUCUAUUUUGUUGGUUUCUAGGAUCGACGUAAUGAUUAAUAGGGAUAGUUGGGGGCAUUAGUAUUCAAUUGUCAGAGGUGAAAUUCUUGGAUUUAUUGAAGACUAACUACUGCGAAAGCAUUUGCCAAGGAUGUUUUCAUUAAUCAAGAACGGAAGUUAGGGGAUUGAAGACGAUCAGAUACCGUCGUAGUCUUAACCAUAAACUACGCCGACUAGGGAUCGGAUGAUGUUAAUUUUUUAAUGUACUCAUUCGGCGCC